GUGAGUCUGGAGAGCUGGUGAUCAGUGCUGUUCACACAAUGCCGGAACAGUGGGAAGAAUUGAGGGCUUGGAAUACACAAUUAGAUUUAUACUUGAGUUCCUACAGAUUGUGUGAAGAGGGCGAAUAAGUUGAAAUAGCGAGGCUUCUGCAAUUGCUCAGGCGAGGGAGGAGGGCAUCGGCCGAGAGACUGGCAACGGCGGAAAUAAAGCGGUGAAUAUGCGAGGCACUGAAGGGUAGACUAUCCAUCCAGCACAGGAAGAAGGUUGUAUGAAACGGCUGUGAGCCACGAAAGGAUAAUCAGAUAUAAAGGCCCACAGCGAAGGGUCUGCAUCAAAGACACGUGUCCCACCUACCUGGCGUUUCUAGAAUGGCUCAAGAAGGAUUAGAAGGCUGCUGUGAGGGAUAUGGAUUUGAACUCAGGACCUCCGGAAGAGCAGUCAGUGCUCGUAACCACUGAGCCAUCUCUCCAGCCGUGAAAGAGAGUUUCUUAUCAAUCAGUCCUGGCACUGGUAAAGGACAUGUAGCCCCAGGGAUAUGCAUGCAAAGAUCAGAUGAGCACACAGGGAGAAGAUGGCCAUCUGUGAGCCAAAGAGAGAGCUCAGAAGACGCCAACCCUGCCCUGCUGACCCCUCAACUCUCAGACUUCCGGUCUUCAAACCAUGAGGAGGAUCUCAUGCAUCCCCGGAUAGCCCCAAACUCGUAGCAAAGGAUGGCCUUGACUUUCUGAUCCUCCUGCCUCCACUCCCCAAGUUCUGGAAUUACAGGUGUGCUCUGCCAUCUCCCGUUUAUGGGGUGCACAGAUUGAACCUCGGCUUUGGGCAUGCCACACAGCACUUUGCCACCUAAGCUCCAGCUCCAGCAUAAAAAUCGAUUUUUACAGCAUUUAUAAAAAGAGCCAGGUCAUAGCCAAACAGGUUCCCAGUCUGAAGAGAAGCAUUCCUUACUGCUGACCUCCCCUGGGGAAACCCUCCAGACCUCCUCAGCUCCUCUGGACCAAGUUCCUUCAGGCUUCAUUCAAGUGUUGCCUUGCCUCUCCUUGGAGCCUGGUGGUCACCCGGAAAAUACAUACUGCUUCCCCUUGGGUCUGUAGGCCUUGGCACAAGAAGCCACAAUGACAGGAUGCUGGCAACAUCUGACCAACUGCACACUUGACACCAGAGACUCCUUAGUAAACAAGCUGAUUUAUUUAUUUAGGUUUUUGUGUCUUGUGUUGUUUGCUUGUUUGUUUCAAAACAGGGUUUCUCAGUGUACCACUCGCUGUCCUGGAACGUACUUUGUAGGUCAGACUGGCCUCUUAACUCAGAGAUCUGCCUGCCUCUGCCUCCUAAAUGCUGGGAGGAUUAAAGGGGUGUGCCGUCACACCCGGAUUGAUAAGUUAUGUGUUUACUACCAGCUUCUAACUGCGGAAAUUCUCACUGGGUAGCUGAGAACUCAGACGAAGUUGGUAAAAUCCAGCUCUACCAUUAGACCAGAGUAGAUGAUCAUACCCAGGGCUUCCUCCUGAGCCAUAGUUCAGCGUCCUGACCUAAAGAAAGCAGCUCGGAAGGCUGGUGGGUCAUUAACACAGCUCCCUAGCUUGGGGUGGGUCAAGCACUCAGCUCAGCAUGCGUCUCCACCCGCAGCUUCUUCCUGGUUAGUUUCUGCCAGGAGGGAUCAGUGCUAGAGAAAGGCUAGAAGGCAGCAGGAAGAACCUCCCUUUCUCUGGGCUGGCUGCUCCUGGUCAUUCUACCAGUAGGCUGGUCUCUGAAGUGUCCCCAGAAGGAGCUGCAUGUCACCAACUGGGGUGUCUACAAUAGGCAGGCAGCAUCUAUGCUUAGAAAUCUGCGCUCUGCCAGGCUCCCCCUUCCAUGGAACUAGUCAGGAAGAGGGACUUAGCUAGGUGGGUAAGGACUUUUUACCUCUGUUGUAGCACAUAAUAAUUCCGACUACAGCCUUGCUCCCAGCCACUAAAAGUUAAGUGUCCCCCACCACCCUUGAUUCAAUAACUAAUUUCCCACAUUGAACAUGUUCCGUUUGCAUGCAUGUGAGGCCGCUGUUUUCCUAUGGGUAAGCACUAUUAUAAGGGCUUCCUCUCUGUGGAUUCUGGAACCUUCCUUCCCCUUAAGUGGGGGAAAGCACCCAUGAUCUAAGCCUAAAGCACAGAGUGUAGCAAAGGGACUUCAUAUAUGCAGUUGAGGUCUCUAAACAGUUGGGUUUGCAUUCACAAGCCGGAAGAUGACCUGGGAUGGGCCUGAUGGAUCAGAUGAAAAAAUACCCUGUAAAAGAAGAAUCAGGCCCUCCCUGAGGUCAGAGAGACCCUCAACCAUAAAGAACCAGGGAUAAGUGUCUAGAACCUGAGACCUACCUCCAGCUGGCACCAAGCGACACACUAAGAUCAUGCACUCUCAAGAAAACAGAUUUGGUCAACAAGCUUCCUGAGGUGGGCAGAGGAUCCCCUGCAGUGGAACUUCUAGAUGCAAGGAAACAAAUCCCAGUAAUAAUUCUGACAGAAGCCUUGGGAGUCCUGCAUGGAGUACUAAUAAGCCAAGCCAAGGCACUGACAGGAACUGUGGGCCAGUAUGCACUUCCUUUUAAGCUGCUGGACAUGUGGCAAGUUUCUUACACAGCAACAGAAAAUGAAUGCAACCCCUAAAAGGUCUAAUUUGCCCACGAGGCAACUUAACCGUAAUGUUUAAACUAUCCAGGAAACCCCCGGGGAAGCUGACACUGAUGCCCAGCACAGACAGGCUUUUCCUUCUAGAUUAGAGCACACCCGCACCAGCGGAAGCAGGCAGCUUCUCUCAGGGACCACACGGUUCAAAAUUACAUGCAUUUUGAAACAUUAGACUCGCAUUCAUCGUAUCAAGCUAUCACACAAGAAAACUGGUAUUUAUGAAGAAGGAAGCUGGUGUCUCCCUCGCGCCACAGUCCACAGCUCUCACUCAGCGGAAGAGCAAGGAAUAGCCUAUGUAGUUACAGCGUGCUUCUGCGAAAAUAUACAACGGCCUUUACUGAAGUCGGACACUUCAUUAUUCGAGCUCUUGAGUUUGCAUUUUUCUUUUAAAUUAACGAGACAAUUGUGCGAAGCAUUGGAGAAGCUUCUCUUUGUUUUUACUUUAAGAGGCUUAGUUUGUCAAAGAGUGUAGGAACCUGCCCAUCGCCCAUUGAUUUAAAGAAAAGAAAAGCAAGCUCUCGGAAGGAAGCUGUUCAGAUCUGAGUACUUUCUUCCACCCCUUCUGUAAAAGAUGGCAACUGAGGCACUGGAGACCAUCCCGACACUUUCAGCUCACACACGGGAAAAUAACAAUGCCAACGGCCAAAGCAGAAUGCUCGCCACAUGUCAGAAGCACCAGCCCUAUCUCUAGAUGGUAUCCAGACUGAAGAAAGACCUUGUGAUGAUUAUUACCUCCGAUCCUCAAGACUUUCUCAUCCUUAAAAGAUGUGAUGUUGCCCGAUGAUUCAAACUCCUGCUGUCUUACUCCCCAACCAAGAUGGACUGUACUGUGGACUGUGAGGAAAAUCCAAGCUGCACAUUGAAUUUUUUAAAGUCCAUACACCAAGUCUGCAAGAUGUCUCAGUAAGUAAAGCUAUUUGCUGCCAAGUCUUUUUU
rnacentral:sRNA from 1 species